GCGGGGCGGCGUGCUAAUACAUGCAAGUCGAGCGGACAGAAGGGAGCUUGCUCCCGGAUGUUAGCGGCGGACGGGUGAGUAACACGUGGGUAACCUGCCUGUAAGACUGGGAUAACUCCGGGAAACCGGAGCUAAUACCGGAUAGUUCCUUGAACCGCAUGGUUCAAGGAUGAAAGACGGUUUCGGCUGUCACUUACAGAUGGACCCGCGGCGCAUUAGCUAGUUGGUGAGGUAACGGCUCACCAAGGCGACGAUGCGUAGCCGACCUGAGAGGGUGAUCGGCCACACUGGGACUGAGACACGGGGCCCAGACUCCUACGGGAGGCAGCAGUAGGGAAUCUUCCGCAAUGGACGAAAGUCUGACGGAGCAACGCCGCGUUGAGUGAUGAAGGUUUUCGGAUCGUAAAGCUCUGUUGUUAGGGAAGAACAAGUGCAAGAGUAACUGCUUGCACCUUGACGGUACCUAACCAGAAAGCCACGGCUAACUACGUGCCAGCAGCCGCGGUAAUACGUAGGUGGCAAGCGUUUUCCGGAAUUAUUGGGCGUAAAGGGCUCGCAGGCGGUUUCUUAAGUCUGAUGUGAAAGCCCCCGGCUCAACCGGGGAGGGUCAUUGGAAACUGGGAAACUUGAGUGCAGAAGAGGAGAGUGGAAUUCCACGUGUAGCGGUGAAAUGCGUAGAGAUGUGGAGGAACACCAGUGGCGAAGGCGACUCUCUGGUCUGUAACUGACGCUGAGGAGCGAAAGCGUGGGGAGCGAACAGGAUUAGAUACCCUGGUAGUCCACGCCGUAAACGAUGAGUGCUAAGUGUUAGGGGGUUUCCGCCCCUUAGUGCUGCAGCUAACGCAUUAAGCACUCCGCCUGGGGAGUACGGUCGCAAGACUGAAACUCAAAGGAAUUGACGGGGGCCCGCACAAGCGGUGGAGCAUGUGGUUUAAUUCGAAGCAACGCGAAGAACCUUACCAGGUCUUGACAUCCUCUGACAACCCUAGAGAUAGGGCUUUCCCUUCGGGGACAGAGUGACAGGUGGUGCAUGGUUGUCGUCAGCUCGUGUCGUGAGAUGUUGGGUUAAGUCCCGCAACGAGCGCAACCCUUGAUCUUAGUUGCCAGCAUUCAGUUGGGCACUCUAAGGUGACUGCCGGUGACAAACCGGAGGAAGGUGGGGAUGACGUCAAAUCAUUCAUGCCCCUUAUGACCUGGGCUACACACGUGCUACAAUGGACAGAACAAAGGGCUGCGAGACCGCAAGGUUUAGCCAAUCCCACAAAUCUGUUCUCAGUUCGGAUCGCAGUCUGCAACUCGACUGCGUGAAGCUGGAAUCGCUAGUAAUCGCGGAUCAGCAUGCCGCGGUGAAUACGUUCCCGGGCCUUGUACACACCGCCCGUCACACCACGAGAGUUUGCAACACCCGAAGUCGGUGAGGUAACCUUUAUGGAGCCAGCCGCCGAAGUGACAGAUA
rnacentral:rRNA from 1 species